rnacentral:rRNA from 1 species
UACAGAGGGGGCAAGCGUUGUUCGGAAUUACUGGGCGUAAAGGGCGCGUAGGCGGCCUUCUAAGUCGAACGUAAAAUCCCCGGGCUCAACCCGGGAACUGCGUCCGAUACUGGAAGGCUUGAAUCCGGGAGAGGGAUGCGGAAUUCCAGGUGUAGCGGUGAAAUGCGUAGAUAUCAGGAGGAACACCGGUGGCGAAGGCGGGUCUCUGGGCCGAUACUGACGCUGAGGAGCGAAAGCGUGGGGAGCGAACAGG